UUUUAACAAUGGAUCUCUUGGUUCUCACAUCGAUGAAGAACGCAGA
rnacentral:rRNA from 1 species